UCUAAUACCGGAUACUGAUCURCUUGGGCAUCCAAGUGGUUCGAAAGCUCCGGCGGUGCAGGAUGAGCCCGCGGCCUAUCAGCUUGUUGGUGAGGUAACGGCUCACCAAGGCGACGACGGG
rnacentral:rRNA from 1 species